rnacentral:rRNA from 1 species
AGCGGCGGACGGGUGAGUAACGCGUGGGUAACCUGCCCUGUACACACGGAUAACAUACCGAAGGGUAUGCUAAUACGAGAUAAUAUACUUUUAUCGCAUGGUAGAAGUAUCAAAGCUUUUGCGGUACAGGAUGGACCCGCGUCUGAUUAGCUAGUUGGUAAGGUAACGGCUUACCAAGGCGACGAUCAGUAGCCGACCUGAGAGGGUGAUCGGCCACAUUGGAACUGAGACACGGUCCAAACUCCUACGGGAGGCAGCAGUGGGGAAUAUUGCACAAUGGGCGAUAGCCUGAUGCAGCGACGCCGCGUGAGCGAUGAAGGCCUUCGGGUCGUAAAGCUCUGUCCUCAAGGAAGAUAAUGACGGUACUUGAGGAGGAAGCCCCGGCUAACUACGUGCCAGCAGCCGCGGUAAUACGUAGGGGGCUAGCGUUAUCCGGAAUUACUGGGCGUAAAGGGUGCAUAGGUGGUUUCUUAAGUCAGAGGUGAAAGGCUACGGCUCAACCGUAGUAAGCCUUUGAAACUGGGAAACUUGAGUGCAGGAGAGGAGAGUGGAAUUCCUAGUGUAGCGGUGAAAUGCGUAGAUAUUAGGAGGAACACCAGUUGCGAAGGCAGCUCUCUGGACUGUAACUGACACUGAGGCACGAAAGCGUGGGGAGCAAACAGGAUUAGAUACCCUGGUAGUCCACGCCGUAAACGAUGAGUACUAGCUGU